rnacentral:rRNA from 1 species
AGAGUUUGAUCAUGGCUCAGAACGAACGCUGGCGGCAGGCCUAACACAUGCAAGUCGAGCGCACCUUCGGGUGAGCGGCGGACGGGUUAGUAACGCGUGGGAACGUGCCCUUCUCUAAGGAAUAGCCACUGGAAACGGUGAGUAAUACCUUAUACGCCCUUCGGGGGAAAGAUUAAUCGGAGAAGGAUCGGCCCGCGUUAGAUUAGAUAGUUGGUGGGGUAACGGCCUACCAAGUCUACGAUCUAUAGCUGGUUUUAGAGGAUGAUCAGCAACACUGGGACUGAGACACGGCCCAGACUCCUACGGGAGGCAGCAGUGGGGAAUCUUGGACAAUGGGCGCAAGCCUGAUCCAGCCAUGCCGCGUGAGUGAUGAAGGCCUUAGGGUCGUAAAGCUCUUUCGCCAGGGAUGAUAAUGACAGUACCUGGUAAAGAAACCCCGGCUAACUCCGUGCCAGCAGCCGCGGUAAUACGGAGGGGGUUAGCGUUGUUCGGAAUUACUGGGCGUAAAGCGUACGUAGGCGGAUUAGUCAGUCAGAGGUGAAAUCCCAGGGCUCAACCCUGGAACUGCCUUUGAUACUGCUAGUCUUGAGUUCGAGAGAGGUGAGUGGAAUUCCGAGUGUAGAGGUGAAAUUCGUAGAUAUUCGGAAGNAACACCAGUGGCGAAGGCGGCUCACUGGCUCGAUACUGACGCUGAGGUACGA